rnacentral:rRNA from 1 species
AAUGAACGCUGGCGGCAGGCCUAACACAUGCAAGUCGAACGAGUGGCGGACGGGUGAGUAAUGUCCGGGAAACUGCCUGCUGGAGGGGGAUAACUACUGGAAACGGUAGCUAAUACCGCAUACCAUCAGAUGUGCCAAGAUGGGAUUCGCUUGGUGGUGGGGUAAUGGCUCACCAAGGCGACGAUCCAUAGCUGGUCUGAGAGGAGGACCAGCCACACUGUAACGGAGACACGGUCCAGUCUCCGACGGGAGGGAGGAGUGGUGAGUAUUGUACAAUGGGCCCAAGCCUGAUGCAGCCAUACCGCGUGGAGGAAGGAGGCCUUCGGGUUGUAAAGUACUUGCAGCGGGGAGGCGUUACCCGCUGAAGAAGCACCGGCUAACUCCGUGCCAGCAGCCGCGGUAAUUC